GGCAGGGGCGUUGGAGAUCUAUAAUAAAAGCAAAGAAAGAACGUACUAUUUAUAUAUGUAUACAAUUUUAAAAGAGAGUAGUCCAAUCCUAAAACUAUUCAGAUAUUGGUACAUGUAAAGCCUGUAGGCCGGGUGGCUAAAUUUGCUAAUAUUGUUGUAGGUGGGGUUACAAGUUCAACGAGCAGGCUGAUAGAGGAGUCACAGGACCCCUGAAGUCCAGAACAAGAACAAAGAAAGCAGGUAUUUUGUAAUUUUAUCUGUGUAUAUUGCAAAAAAAUAUAAAAGCAAUUUAUGCAUACCCCUACUUGUUUACGGAAUUGUGCUAGCCAGCAAGAUCUAGAAGGCAACGCCCACAGCAUGUUGUAUUCCAGUCGACGAAACGAGAAUGUGUUUAGUGUUUUAAUAGAUCUCUAUUCAUUUAUGGACAAAAUUAUUUCUGAAGUUGUAAUACAUAAGUAGGUUUCAU
rnacentral:lncRNA from 1 species